AGAGUUUGAUCCUGGCUCAGGAUGAACGCUAGCUACAGGCUUAACACAUGCAAGUCGAGGGGCAGCAUGACCUAGCAAUAGGUUGAUGGCGACCGGCGCACGGGUGAGUAACACGUAUCCAACCUGCCGAUUAUUCCGGGAUAGCCUUUCGAAAGAAAGAUUAAUACUGGAUAGCAUAACGAGAAGGCAUCUUCUUGUUAUUAAAGAAUUUCGAUAAUCGAUGGGGAUGCGUUCCAUUAGUUUGUUGGCGGGGUAACGGCCCACCAAGACAUCGAUGGAUAGGGGUUCUGAGAGGAAGGUCCCCCACAUUGGAACUGAGACACGGUCCAAACUCCUACGGGAGGCAGCAGUGAGGAAUAUUGGUCAAUGGACGAGAGUCUGAACCAGCCAAGUAGCGUGAAGGAUGACUGCCCUAUGGGUUGUAAACUUCUUUUAUAUGGGAAUAAAGUGCAGUAUGUAUACUGUUUUGUAUGUACCAUACGAAUAAGGAUCGGCUAACUCCGUGCCAGCAGCCGCGGUAAUACGGAGGAUCCGAGCGUUAUCCGGAUUUAUUGGGUUUAAAGGGAGCGUAGGCGGAUUAUUAAGUCAGUUGUGAAAGUUUGCGGCUCAACCGUAAAAUUGCAGUUGAUACUGGUAGUCUUGAGUGCAGCAGAGGUAGGCGGAAUUCGUGGUGUAGCGGUGAAAUGCUUAGAUAUCACGAAGAACUCCGAUUGCGAAGGCAGCUUACUGGACUGUAACUGACGCUGAUGCUCGAAAGUGUGGGUAUCAAACAGGAUUAGAUACCCUGGUAGUCCACACAGUAAACGAUGAAUACUCGCUGUUUGCGAUAUACAGUAAGCGGCCAAGCGAAAGCGUUAAGUAUUCCACCUGGGGAGUACGCCGGCAACGGUGAAACUCAAAGGAAUUGACGGGGGCCCGCACAAGCGGAGGAACAUGUGGUUUAA
rnacentral:rRNA from 1 species